rnacentral:rRNA from 1 species
UACGAAGGGGGCUAGCGUUGCUCGGAAUCACUGGGCGUAAAGGGUGCGUAGGCGGGUCUUUAAGUCAGGGGUGAAAUCCUGGAGCCUCAACUCCAGAACUGCCUUUGAUACUGAAGAUCUUGAGUUCGGGAGAGGUGAGUGGAACUGCGAGUGUAGAGGUGAAAAUUCGUAGAUAUUCGCAAGAACACCAGUGGCGAAGGCGGCUCACUGGCCCGAUACUGACGCUGAGGCACGAAAGCGUGGGAGCAACAGG